UACAAUUGUAGUAUUAUGUAUUGUGAGUGUUUAUUUAUUUUGGUACGAAAUGCUCUUCACUAAAAGCUUGAUUUAGUGAAACCAGACUCAUACUGAUGCUGGAACUUAUUUACCAUGUAUAAGUUUCAAUCUUAAAAUAAUUAUGUAUUUCUCUGUUUUCUAGAGCAGAAACCCCAUUACCCGGUAGUGGGGACUUUGAUUUUAGGGAGGAGGUUGUGGGUACUUUAAUUUUAGGGAGAGAGUUGUGGGGACUUUGAUUUUUUCUUUUCACAGAACUUAAUUACUGGGCAGAGGUCAUUCGAAUUAAAACGUUCUCUUUAUUUGAAUGUAAGAUUAUUGCUAUGAACAACUUUUGUUACUUGCUCUGUUGCUUUAGAACACCAACUUUCCAGUUCUUGCAGACCCGCCUUCAGAUUGUCCCGUUGCUAAAUGAGCAGCAUUCACGUCGAAGCAACAAGCUGAAAUAUUUUCAUAUCUCUGACGUUAGGAUUGAGGACAUUUAGGUUACUUCUAAAGUGAAAGAUAGUUAAUUGGAAUAAGAGCUGAAUACCUUUUGAAAAGCUGGACUUUUAUGUAUGAGAACACCUAACUGAGUAUUUUCCGUGUAAUGUGCAGUAAGCCAAGACUAGAUGGAAUCCUAUCUUCACUAAACGAUAAUCCUAGCUAACCAUGUGUAUGAGGUAGAGGUGUAGAGAUGUUGAAAAAAGGCUUUGAAGUUGAAAAUUGCAUUGAAAUAUACAUAAUACAUGAGAUAGGAUAGAUUCAUAAGAGGUUCUCAUACCUUGUUAAUAGUCAAUACUAGUGCUACUUCUUUUGCUAACUACAUCUAAGUUCAGUUAAUACUUCCACUAACUGAGAUACAUGAUCAUGAAGAAGCAUAGUUGGAAAACUAGAUUAGUUGCACCAUAUACACCAUAUAGAGAUUUUUUUCACCUUAUCUUAGACAAUCUAAAAGGAUUUUCUUGAAGAAACAAGCUCACAACACUGUAGGUGAUCUAAUUUUCUUACCGUGUGUAUGGGCAUGAGGGAUAUAUUCACUACAAUUGAUUUUACAGAUAAGGGAUGAAAAUUCAUUAGAUACAACUAUACCAAGGAAGAGAAUUGACAAACCUAUUGUGAAUACUCUGAAAGACAUUGUGGUCAAGGAGGUAGUUUCUUCAAAGAAGAAGAAGUGUCAGUAAGAGUAACACAGUUCCUCAGAGGAAAAAAUUAAACUCGCAGUAAGUCAAAGCACCGUGGACGAGUCUGAAGUUUCUCCCAAUGAUGUUGUUGGUAAGGUACUAGGAAAAGAGCAUUCUGGAAGGGUAAUAUGCUUGGGAUUAGGAGCUGUUCUUAGCAGAUCCUUUAAGAAAGUACGUCCUCAUUUUGGUGGUAUGUGUUCUUCAAGUAGUAACAGUUCAUGUCCAUCUAAUUGUCAAGAAAACUACACUCAAAUGUUAAAUGCUCAUAAGCAAAGCCAAGAGAACUACAAAGAAAUGGUGAAUUCUCACAAUCUAAUGAUGAACACUUUCAAGGCAUAUAUGAUAAUGAAAGAAGGCACGAUACUUGAAUAGUUUGCAGGAUUUUUCACUUCUUUUACGCCAAGUGAUGCAUCUAGUGGACCUCUUUCGGAUGUGAAUGGAAGAUCAUUUGAUGAUAGUUAUUCUAGCGAUAAUCUUUGAAGUUUUUUGUAAUCGUAUUAGUAAUUAUGAUAAUGUUAUCGAAUUGUUGGAGUAAUAUUUCGUGUUUAAAUUAAAUUAGUCUUUAAGACUAAUUACAACAC